rnacentral:rRNA from 1 species
GUGUCAGCCGCCGCGGUAAUACAGAGGGUGCGAGCGUUGUCCGGAAUCACUGGGCGUAAAGGGCGCGUAGGCGGCCCGAUAAGUAGGGGGUGAAAUCUUGCGGCUCAACCGCAAGGCUGCCUUCUAGACUGUCGGGCUUGAGCACAGUAGAGGCAGGUGGAAUUCCCGGUGUAGCGGUGGAAUGCGUAGAGAUCGGGAAGAACAUCGGUGGCGAAGGCGGCCUGCUGGGCUGUUGCUGACGCUGAGGCGCGACAGCGUGGGGAGCAAACAGGAUUAGAAACCCCAGUAGUCC